CCUACGGGAGGCUGCAGUGGGGAAUAUUGCACAAUGGGGGAAACCCUGAUCCAGCACCGCCGCGUGAGUGAAGAAGGUUUUCGGAUGUUAAAGCUCUUUUAGCAGGGAAACGAAAGGACGGUACCUUCAGAGGAGGCCACGGCUAACUACGGGCCACCAGCCGCGGUAAUACGUAGGUGGCAAGCGUUGUUCGGAAUAACUGGGCGUAAAGGAUGCGUAGGCGGUUAAACAAGUUAUAUGUUAAAUAUAUAGGCUUAACCUGUAGAAAGCAUAUAAAACUGUUUAACUAGAGUGCAGGAGAGGUAAGUGGAAUUCCUGGUGUAGCGGUGAAAUGCGUAGAGAUUAGGAAGAACACCAGUGGCGAAGGCGACUUACUGGACUGUAACUGACGCUGAGGCAUGAGAGCAUGGGGAGCAAACAGGAUUAGAUACCCCAGUAGUC
rnacentral:rRNA from 1 species